UCGGGUUAAGUCCCAUAACGAGCGAAACCCUUACCUUUUAGUUGCUACCGAAAGGGCACUCUAGAGGGACUGCCGGUGUUAAACCGGAGGAAGGUGGGGAUGACGUCAAGUCCUCAUGGCCUUUAUGUCCAGGGCUGCACACGUGCUACAAUGGCGUGAACAAAGUGACGCGACUUUGCGAAAAGAAGCAAAUCACAUAAAUCACGCCCCAGUUCAGAUCGAAGGCUGCAACUCGCCUUCGUGAAGCCGGAAUCGCUAGUAAUCGCGGGUCAGCAACACCGCGGUGAAUGUAGUUCCUGAGCCUU
rnacentral:rRNA from 1 species